AGACCCGAAACCCGGUGAUCUAGCCAUGGGCAGGUUGAAGGUUGGGUAACACUAACUGGAGGACCGAACCGACUAAUGUUGAAAAAUUAGCGGAUGACCUGUGGCUGGGGGUGAAAGGCCAAUCAAACCGGGAGAUAGCUGGUUCUCCCCGAAAGCUAUUUAGGUAGCGCCUCGUGAAUUCAUCUCCGGGGGUAGAGCACUGUUUCGGCUAGGGGGCCAUCCCGGCUUACCAACCCGAUGCAAACUGCGAAUACCGGAGAAUGUUAUCACGGGAGACACACGGCGGGUGCUAACGUCCGUCGUGAAGAGGGAAACAACCCAGACCGCCAGCUAAGGUCCCAAAGUCAUGGUUAAGUGGGAAACGAUGUGGGAAGGCCCAGACAGCCAGGAUGUUGGCUUAGAAGCAGCCAUCAUUUAAAGAAAGCGUAAUAGCUCACUGGUCGAGUCGGCCUGCGCGGAAGAUGUAACGGGGCUAAACCAUGCACCGAAGCUGCGGCAGCGACACUCAGGUGUUGUUGGGUAGGGGAGCGUUCUGUAAGCCUGUGAAGGUGGCCUGUGAGGGUUGCUGGAGGUAUCAGAAGUGCGAAUGCUGACAUAAGUAACGAUAAAGCGGGUGAAAAGCCCGCUCGCCGGAAGACCAAGGGUUCCUGUCCAACGUUAAUCGGGGCAGGGUGAGUCGACCCCUAAGGCGAGGCCGAAAGGCGUAGUCGAUGGGAAACGGGUUAAUAUUCCCGUACUUGGUGUUACUGCGAAGGGGGGACGGAGAAGGCUAUGUUGGCCGGGCGACGGUUGUCCCGGUUUAAGCGUAUAGGUGUGUGUUCCAGGUAAAUCCGGUUCACUUUAACACUGAGGCGUGAUGACGAGGCGCUACGGUGCUGAAGCAACAAAUGCCCUGCUUCCAGGAAAAGCCUCUAAGCAUCAGGUAACAUCAAAUCGUACCCCAAACCGACACAGGUGGUCAGGUAGAGAAUACCAAGGCGCUUGAGAGAACUCGGGUGAAGGAACUAGGCAAAAUGGUGCCGUAACUUCGGGAGAAGGCACGCUGACAUGUAGGUGAAGUGAUUUACUCAUGGAGCUGAAGUCAGUCGAAGAUACCAGCUGGCUGCAACUGUUUAUUAAAAACACAGCACUGUGCAAACACGAAAGUGGACGUAUACGGUGUGACGCCUGCCCGGUGCCGGAAGGUUAAUUGAUGGGGUCAGCGCAAGCGAAGCUCCUGAUCGAAGCCCCGGUAAACGGCGGCCGUAACUAUAACGGUCCUAAGGUAGCGAAAUUCCUUGUCGGGUAAGUUCCGACCUGCACGAAUGGCGUAAUGAUGGCCAGGCUGUCUCCACCCGAGACUCAGUGAAAUUGAACUCGCUGUGAAGAUGCAGUGUACCCGCGGCAAGACGGAAAGACCCCGUGAACCUUUACUAUAGCUUGACACUGAACAUUGAGCCUUGAUGUGUAGGAUAGGUGGGAGGCUUUGAAGUGUGGACGCCAGUCUGCAUGGAGCCGACCUUGAAAUACCACCCUUUAAUGUUUGAUGUUCUAACGUGGACCCGUGAUCCGGGUUGCGGACAGUGUCUGGUGGGUAGUUUGACUGGGGCGGUCUCCUCCUAAAGAGUAACGGAGGAGCACGAAGGUUGGCUAAUCCUGGUCGGACAUCAGGAGGUUAGUGCAAUGGCAUAAGCCAGCUUGACUGCGAGCGUGACGGCGCGAGCAGGUGCGAAAGCAGGUCAUAGUGAUCCGGUGGUUCUGAAUGGAAGGGCCAUCGCUCAACGGAUAAAAGGUACUCCGGGGAUAACAGGCUGAUACCGCCCAAGAGUUCAUAUCGACGGCGGUGUUUGGCACCUCGAUGUCGGCUCAUCACAUCCUGGGGCUGAAGUAGGUCCCAAGGGUAUGGCUGUUCGCCAUUUAAAGUGGUACGCGAGCUGGGUUUAGAACGUCGUGAGACAGUUCGGUCCCUAUCUGCCGUGGGCGCUGGAGAACUGAGGGGGGCUGCUCCUAGUACGAGAGGACCGGAGUGGACGCAUCACUGGUGUUCGGGUUGUCAUGCCAAUGGCACUGCCCGGUAGCUAAAUGCGGAAGAGAUAAGUGCUGAAAGCAUCUAAGCACGAAACUUGCCCCGAGAUGAGUUCUCCCUGAGACUUUAGGUCUCCUGAAGGAACGUUGAAGACGACGACGUUGAUAGGCCGGGUGUGUAAGCGCAGCGAUGCGUUGAGCUAACCGGUACUAAUGAACCGUGAGGCUUAACCUU
rnacentral:rRNA from 1 species